AUGUGUGUGUGUGUUAGGUAUGUGUAAACUGUGAUGUAAUCAAACCUGAGGAGAACCUCACCUCUUUUUCUGAGUCUGUAGUUCAGGGACUUGUUGUGUAACUUCCUGUGGGCUUGGUUAGAUGUGUGUGUGUGUUAGGUAUGUGU